rnacentral:rRNA from 1 species
GACGAACGCUGGCGGCGUGCUUAACACAUGCAAGUCGAACGGAAAGGCCCCUUCGGGGGUACUCGAGUGGCGAACGGGUGCGUAACACGUGAGUAACCUGCCCUUGACUUCGGGAUAACUUCAGGAAACUGGGGCUAAUACCGGAUAGGAAUCCUUGCUGCAUGGUGGGGGUUGGAAAGCUUCGGCGGUUUUGGCUGGACUCGCGGCUUAUCAGCUUGUUGGUGGGGUAGUGGCUUACCAAGGCUUUGACGGGUAGCCGGCCUGAGAGGGCGACCGGCCACAUUGGGACUGAGAUACGGCCCAGACUCCGACGGGAGGCAGCAGUGGGGAAUAUUGCACAAUGGGCGGAAGCCUGAUGCAGAAACGCCGCGUGCGGGAUGACGGCCUUCGGGUUGUAAACCGCUUUCAGCAGGGGCGAAGCUUGUGGUGACGGUACCUGCAGAAGAAGCACCGGCUAACUACGUG